GAUGAACGCUGGCGGCGUGCCUAAUACAUGCAAGUCGAGCGAACGGACGAGAAGCUUGCUUCUCUGAUGUUAGCGGCGGACGGGUGAGUAACACGUGGAUAACCUACCUAUAAGACUGGGAUAACUUCGGGAAACCGGAGCUAAUACCGGAUAAUAUUUUGAACCGCAUGGUUCAAAAGUGAAAGACGGUCUUGCUGUCACUUAUAGAUGGAUCCGCGCUGCAUUAGCUAGUUGGUAAGGUAACGGCUUACCAAGGCAACGAUGCAUAGCCGACCUGAGAGGGUGAUCGGCCACACUGGAACUGAGACACGGUCCAGACUCCUACGGGAGGCAGCAGUAGGGAAUCUUCCGCAAUGGGCGAAAGCCUGACGGAGCAACGCCGCGUGAGUGAUGAAGGUCUUCGGAUCGUAAAACUCUGUUAUUAGGGAAGAACAUAUAUGUAAGUAACUGUGCACAUCUUGACGGUACCUAAUCAGAAAGCCACGGCUAACUACGUGCCAGCAGCCGCGGUAAUACGUAGGUGGCAAGCGUUAUCCGGAAUUAUUGGGCGUAAAGCGCGCGUAGGCGGUUUUUUAAGUCUGAUGUGAAAGCCCACGGCUCAACCGUGGAGGGUCAUUGGAAACUGGAAAACUUGAGUGCAGAAGAGGAAAGUGGAAUUCCAUGUGUAGCGGUGAAAUGCGCAGAGAUAUGGAGGAACACCAGUGGCGAAGGCGACUUUCUGGUCUGUAACUGACGCUGAUGUGCGAAAGCGUGGGGAUCAAACAGGAUUAGAUACCCUGGUAGUCCACGCCGUAAACGAUGAGUGCUAAGUGUUAGGGGGUUUCCGCCCCUUAGUGCUGCAGCUAACGCAUUAAGCACUCCGCCUGGGGAGUACGACCGCAAGGUUGAAACUCAAAGGAAUUGACGGGGACCCGCACAAGCGGUGGAGCAUGUGGUUUAAUUCGAAGCAACGCGAAGAACCUUACCAAAUCUUGACAUCCUUUGACAACUCUAGAGAUAGAGCUUUCCCCUUCGGGGGGCAAAGUGACAGGUGGUGCAUGGUUGACGUCAGCUCGUGUCGUGAGAUGUUGGGUUAAGUCCCGCAACGAGCGCAACCCUUAAGCUUAGUUGCCAUCAUUAAGUUGGGCACUCUAAGUUGACUGCCGGUGACAAACCGGAGGAAGGUGGGGAUGACGUCAAAUCAUCAUGCCCCUUAUGAUUUGGGCUACACACGUGCUACAAUGGACAAUACAAAGGGCAGCGAAACCGCGAGGUCAAGCAAAUCCCAUAAAGUUGUUCUCAGUUCGGAUUGUAGUCUGCAACUCGACUACAUGAAGCUGGAAUCGCUAGUAAUCGUAGAUCAGCAUGCUACGGUGAAUACGUUCCCGGGUCU
rnacentral:rRNA from 1 species